rnacentral:rRNA from 2 species
AUCCAGCCAUGCCGCGUGAGUGAAGAAGGCCUUCGGGUUGUAAAGCUCUUUCAGGAUGGAAAGAAAUCCUAUUGCGCUAAUACCGGGUGGGGAUGACGGUACCGUCAGAAGAAGCACCGGCUAACUACGUGCCAGCAGCCGCGGUAAUACGUAGGGUGCGAGCGUUAAUCGGAAUUACUGGGCGUAAAGCGUGCGCAGGCGGUUUUGUAAGACAGACGUGAAAUCCCCGGGCUUAACCUGGGAACUGCGUUUGUGACUGCAAGGCUAGAGUGUGGCAGAGGGGGGUAGAAUUCCACGUGUAGCAGUGAAAUGCGUAGAGAUGUGGAGGAAAACCGAUGGCGAAGGCAGCCCCCUGGGUCAACACUGACGCUCAUGCACGAAAGCGUGGGGAGCAAACAGGAUUAGAUACCCUGGUAGUCCACGCCCUAAACGAUGUCAACUAGGUGUUGGGGGAGGAGACUUCCUUAAUACCGCAUCUAACGCGUGAAKUUGACCCCCUGGGGAGUACGGCCGCGAGGUUG